GGGCCCGCACAAGCGGUGGAGUAUGUGGUUUAAUUCGAUGCAACGCGAAGAACCUUACCAGGGUUUGACAUCCUGCGAAUCUCUUGGAAACGAGAGAGUGCCUUCGGGAACGCAGUGACAGGUGGUGCAUGGCUGUCGUCAGCUCGUGUCGUGAGAUGUUGGGUUAAGUCCCGCAACGAGCGCAACCCACGUCUUUAGUUGCCAGCAUUUAGUUGGGCACUCUAGAGAGACCGCCGGUGACAAACCGGAGGAAGGUGUGGAUGACGUCAAGUCAUCAUGCCCCUUACGUCCUGGGCUACACACGUACUACAAUGCUACGGACAAAGAGCAGCUAACUCGCGAGAGCACGCAAAUCUCAUAAACCGUGGCUCAGUUCAGAUCGUAGGCUGCAACUCGCCUACGUGAAGGAGGAAUCGCUAGUAAUCGGAUAU
rnacentral:rRNA from 1 species